AUCCAUCUGACGAGUCCAAAAUAGGAUGAAACUCGCGUUCAGGGU
rnacentral:hammerhead_ribozyme from 1 species